rnacentral:rRNA from 1 species
AGUGAACGCUGGCGGCAGGCCUAACACAUGCAAGUCGAACGGCAGCACAGAGGAGCUUGCUCCUUGGGUGGCGAGUGGCGGACGGGUGAGGAAUACAUCGGAAUCUGCCCAGUCGUGGGGGAUAACAUAGGGAAACUUAUGCUAAUACCGCAUACGACUACGGGUGAAAGCGGGGGAUCGCAAGACCUCGCGCGAUUGGAUGAGCCGAUGUCCGAUUAGCUAGUUGGCGGGGUAAUGGCCCACCAAGGCGACGAUCGGUAGCUGGUCUGAGAGGAUGAUCAGCCACACUGGAACUGAGACACGGUCCAGACUCCUACGGGAGGCAGCAGUGGGGAAUAUUGGACAAUGGGCGCAAGCCUGAUCCAGCCAUGCCGCGUGGGUGAAGAAGGCC